GACGAACGCUGGCGGCGUGCCUAAUACAUGCAAGUCGAACGCAUUUUCUUUCACCGUAGCUUGCUACACCGAAAGAAAAUGAGUGGCGAACGGGUGAGUAACACGUGGGUAACCUGCCCAUCAGCGGGGGAUAACACUUGGAAACAGGUGCUAAUACCGCAUAAUUCCAUUUACCGCAUGGUAGAUGGGUGAAAGGCGCUUUUGCGUCACUGAUGGAUGGACCCGCGGUGCAUUAGCUAGUUGGUGGGGUAACGGCCUACCAAGGCUGCGAUGCAUAGCCGACCUGAGAGGGUGAUCGGCCACACUGGGACUGAGAAACGGCCCAGACUCCUACGGGAGGCAGCAGUAGGGAAUCUUCGGCAAUGGACGCAAGUCUGACCGAGCAACGCCGCGUGAGUGAAGAAGGUUUUCGGAUCGUAAAACUCUGUUGUUAGAGAAGAACAAGGAUGAGAGUGGAAAGUUCAUCCCUUGACGGUAUCUAACCAGAAAGCCACGGCUAACUACGUG
rnacentral:rRNA from 1 species